ACACAAGCGAGCUGCUGAGCGUGGGGGCUGCCGGCUUGGCGCGAGCCCAGUGCAGCGGGGGUGGUGGCCCUCCGUCCCUGCUGGGUUUGGAUCAUGGAGAAGCCCACGUGAGGGACCCAGCCUGGGAACUGAAUCCCACGAUGGAGGAGCUGGUUUGGGCAGAAAGGAACUUGGCAAGUUCUGACUACUGGUGAGCUCCACUCCGGGGAGUGUGUCCCCAGCCCUGGCCUGGCACGGAGGCCACGUUUCAGGGGACGUGGCACAACACAGAAGUCCUGACUACAGCUCUGGAGGCCAGAAGUGCAGAACAAAUGUGUCCGGGGCUUCCUUCCUCUCCUCCAGGUAGAACCACUCCUGCCUUUUCCAGCUUCCACAGGCACCCAUGUCCUGAGCUGGGGCGCCUUCCUGUCUACAAACCAGCGCCUCCCGGUGUCUCUCUGGCUCGGACCCUCCAGCCUCCCUCCUCCCUACCGGCCCCUCGGGGUUCGCCCACCAGGGAGUCAGGACCUUCCUCCCAAAACCCUCCACUCAAUCUCGUCCAGUCUCUUUUGCUGCGAGGUGACAGUCGCCCAGCCUGGGGCCUCGGUGUGGCUGUCUCAGGGAGCUGUCACUCCACAGCCACAAACACCACACAACGUUGUGUCAAAGGGUCGGAGACACGCCCAAGGUGGACGCAGCUCCUCUGGUGGUGGCUGCGAUUCGGUGUACCGUUCAGGUAAACCUUUGUGUCGUCAGCCCAGGAAGGUACGAAAGAAAAGCUGCUAGUUGGGGUAAGUAGCUUUUUAGACACACAUCAGGUGCUGGAGCUGCUCUGCUGCCCGUAGUCCGUCUCUGCCCGAAGCAGUGCUUUGCUUCACUUCCAGAGUCUGAGCGGGAAUCGCCUGUGCGGGGUGAGGUGGGGGGCGGAUCUGGGGGCUCGGGUCACACGAUGGCUGCCGUCACCUCUCCCGGGCUGGGGGGCAGUUUUGAGAGAGCUGGGGGCUGUCAGCUGUGCCCCGGGGUUCGCUAACCCUAACCCUCCCCCAGGGGGUGGCAGACGCCCUGCCGCUUCCUCUCCAGGGCUGAACCCGCUGGGGCCCCGUUCUCAACCCCAGCUUUCUCCCUGGCUUCUCGCAUCAUUCACUGAUUGGAUCAGCAUUGACAUUAUCUUCCGGGAGCGGUGGAAGAUGAGGAGACAGGCGCAAAAAAUAAAAAUGUGAAUGUUGUGCCUUUCUCAAAGAGCUUCCCUUCUCCAUUGGGGCAGAUCUCAGCCAGCGAAUUAUGCAGACACCAGGGGGUGGCUGGCUGGGGCCUGGGACCAGGAGGCAGCUGGCUGGGACCCCGGAGGCUCCCCACCGGAACCUGACCCUCCCUGACCUCAGGCUUCCAGCCUCCAGCAGGGGAGCAGCAAAGCCUGUCACUUUUGUAAAAAGUAGCAGAGAGACUCCUGUGCCGUUUACCUGGUUUCUGCUCGGCGUUCACACCGGAAGAAGGUCCCCUAGGACACCAACAGCAUCAGGAGUCAGAACUGCCAGCAACACAAGGAUCCUGGCUCUUGCCUGCUUUCAGUCACACUCCUGCACCUUGACGUGGUUUUAAUGUUGUGUCCAGAACCUCCUCUUGUCGCCUUUGGAAGGACUGGUCACCGGGAACUGCUGUCACCGCCAGGGACCUGUUCUUUUCUCUGUUCUUUGCACGUUAUGAAAAUUACCUCCUUGUCAAUUUUUCCUUUAUUCCUCGUGUUUAUUUCAAAAGCCUACUUGGGUGAGAGACUGUUCAGUUUGUAGGUACAAUACCAAAUGCAAGCUGUAAAGGUAUCAUCUGAAAACAGAGCUUAGAAAGCAUAACACUGUUCGUUGCACAGGCUUUUUCUCAGUCCUCUGCAUUUUGUGACCAAAAAGGUGACUAGAUUUUCUUUAAAGCAGUAUUCUUCAUUUUAAGACUGUAAAAAAUGUAAAAAUAGGCAAGAAUAGAAAAACACUGUUUUCAUCUAUUAAUUUUCUUUAUUUUUCCUUCCUUCUUCCUUUUUUUUCUUUCUUCUGUUAAAUGUAAAUCUUCGAUUCAUCUGAAAUGUAUUUUAAUCCAUGGGAUGAAGAGUCAAGAGUGGGAAUUUUGUUCUACCCAAAUGGAUGGUUGAUCGUCCUAGUAUCAUUUAUUGAAUAAUUUAUCACUUAAAAAUUUUUUUUUGAA
ensembl:lncRNA